rnacentral:rRNA from 1 species
GUAGGUGCGAAAGCGUGGGUAGCAAAAAGGAUAAGAUACCCUGGUAGUCCACGCCGUAAACGAUGUCUACCAGCCGUUGGGUGCCUAGCGCACUUUGUGGCGAAGUUAACGCGAUAAGUCGACCGCCUGGGGAGUACGGCCGCAAGGUUAAAACUCAAAUGAAUUGACGGGGGCCCGCACAAGCGGUGGAGCAUGUGGUUUAAUUCGAUGCAACGCGAAGAACCUUACCUACUCUUGACAUCCUGCGAAUUUGGUAGAGAUACCUUAGUGCCUUCGGGAACGCAGAGACAGGUGCUGCAUGGCUGUCGUCAGCUCGUGUUGUGAAAUGUUGGGUUAAGUCCCGUAACGAGCGCAACCCUUGUCCUUAUUUGCCAGCGCGUAAUGGCGGGAACUCUAAGGAGACUGCCGGUGACAAACCGGAGGAAGGUGGGGACGACGUCAAGUCAUCAUGGCCCUUACGAGUAGGGCUACACACGUGCUACAAUGGUCGGUACAAAGGGUUGCCAACUCGCGAGAGUGAGCCAAAUCCCGAAAAAGCCGAUCUCAGUCCGGAUCGGAGUCUGCAACUCGACUCCCGUGAAGUCGGAAUCGCUAGUAAUCGUGGGAUCAGAAUGCCAACGGUGAAUACGUUCCCGGGCCUUUGUACACACCGCCCGUCACACCAUGGGAGUGGG